ACGCUCGACACCUACGGGGGCAGCAGUAGGGAAUAUUGCGCAAUGGGGGAAACCCUGACGCAGCAACGCCGCGUGGAGGAUGACACUUUUCGGAGCGUAAACUCCUUUUCUUAGGGAAGAAUUCUGACGGUACCUAAGGAAUAAGCACCGGCUAACUCCGUGCCAGCAGCCACGGUAAUCUGAGCGGGCUGGCAAGGC
rnacentral:rRNA from 1 species